UACUGCACUAAGCAUUGUAGAUUUUAAAAAAUAAUAAAUUUAAAAAUAAACAUAAUAAAUAAAAAUUUUAAUAAUAACUGUCCCUGUUGUCAAGGAGCUCAUAAUCUUGGGGGAGACAACAUGAUCUGAAUGAAUCCAGAGAAGCCAGGAGGUAGAAAUGACAUGCCUUGGAGAUAUUCUCCCAACCUCCAAUUACAAUGGCUGGAAGUGCAGAGACUAUUCAUGGACCCAUGAUCACAAGGACUUUGACCUGCUCCACUUUUGACUUGAGCUGGUCUGCCCUCUGAUAUGAUGGGACCACCACAUCGAUGCUGAAUUUAGAGAAGACACCCAAUCAGCAUAGCCUACUACAUCUCUGAACAUUCACUCUGAAGAUUUGCCAGCCUCAGGCUUCCUGGUAGCUGGGAUUACAAGCAUGGAAAGUGCAGAAGUGGUAGAGCCUGGGACCCAGGAGCUCAAGCCUUGAUGUCCUUGGAGUUAAUUUUCCAGAUUCAAUGUUGCUGCCAGGAAGCCCUAAGAAGCCAAAGGCACAAGGACACAAGCCUGGGAGUCUUUGGAUCUGGAACUUGAUGAGACCAUGCUAUGUAGGAACUGAGUGAAGCUAUGAACUCUCCAGAGACCCAACUUUCCCCAGAGACUAAGGGAAUACAGGAAAAAUUAUUCCUUCCCAGAGCAGGGCAGAAGAGGGAAAAUGAUUAUAUAUUUAUUCUUAUUAAACCUUUGAAGUAGCUAUUCCUUCGGAAAAGCAAAUCAGGUUGUUAGUGGCUAAAUUCAGGAAACUCCUAAAGUUGGAGGAACACAAUAAGAGGGAUCUUGAGUCAGUGGUGGACUGGAUGCCCUCAAACUCCCUUAAUGGUACUGGAAAACUCCAGAAGAAGGGUAAAAUGCAACAGAACUUUUUCCCAGGCAAUGGAGACCAGAUAAGUCAUUAUUAUACCAACAGUACCUUUCCCUUUUCCUCUAAACUACCUUUGCAGUCUUAUGUCACACUAUUCCAAUUUCUUGUAAUCUUUGAGCUAUUCAAAAUAGUGUACUCACCACCUACAAACAAGCCCUAUGUUUUCCUACUUCCAUUAUGUAGAAUUUUAAUGUUUACAAAAUGCUUUCCUUAACCUUUGAAAUAAAUAGGUAAGUAUAAUUUUUUUUAUCCCUAUCAUGUGAAGAUAAGAAAUCUGAGGUUAAUAUAAUGAUGCUAAGUGACUCUCACGAGCUCCUGUGGAAAUGGGUGGUCAUUGCCUUGAUUAGUUACUAAAUCUUCCAGAGUUGAUUAUCUUUUCAAUAUUCUGUAUACAUUAUUUUCCUGAUUCAGCUCAGUUCACUUUGCAUCAGUUCAUACAAGUUUUCUCCAGGUUUUUCGGAAAUAAUCACUUUUAUGAUUUCUUACAGCACAAUAGUAUUUCAUCAUAUUCGUAUACUAUAACUUGUUCAGACAUUCUCUAAUCAAUGAGCAUUCCUUCAUUUUUCCUUUCUUAACUACCUUCACACCUCUUUCUUUGAUCUUUUUAGGGUAUAUACCUAAUAGUAGUAUCUCUGAAUCAAAGGGAAUGUACAGUGUGAAACUGUGCCUUGGAAUUAUUGUAAUUUGCAUUCUCUAAUUAUUAGUGACUUGGUGAAUUUUUUGAUACAACUUUUUAGAAACAAUAUUGAUAAUAACAUGUUGAAUUUGUUAUAUUUUUUAAAAAGCAACCUGGAUGUAAUAAAUAUUUUUUAUUUCA